CCUGCCCCUAGAGGUGUUGCAGGUAUAGCUGCUGUAUCAGGUGUGCUUCCACAGGUGAUAGAGAGGAGAGAGCCUAUGUCUAGGCUCAGUGUUCUGACCUAUAGACAUAUGAAUGAUUAGUGACCUAACACU